GGGUUGUGAGGUUAAGCGACUAAGCGUACACGGUGGAUGCCCUGGCAGUCAGAGGCGAUGAAGGACGUGCUAAUCUGCGAAAAGCGUCGGUAAGGUGAUAUGAACCGUUACAGCCGGCGAUGUCCGAAUGGGGAAACCCAGUGCAAUUCGUUGCACUAUCGUUAACUGAAUACAUAGGUUAACGAGGCGAACCGGGGGAACUGAAACAUCUAAGUACCCCGAGGAAAAGAAAUCAACCGAGAUUCCCCCAGUAGCGGCGAGCGAACGGGGAGCAGCCCAGAGUCUGAAUCAGCUUGUGUGUUAGUGGAACGGUCUGGAAAGUCCGACGGUACAGGGUGAUAGUCCCGUACACCAAAAUGCACAGGCUGUGAACUCGAAGAGUAGGGCGGGACACGUGGUAUCCUGUCUGAAUAUGGGGGGACCAUCCUCCAAGGCUAAAUACUCCUGACUGACCGAUAGUGAACCAGUACCGUGAGGGAAAGGCGAAAAGAACCCCGGCGAGGGGAGUGAAAAAGAACCUGAAACCGUGUACGUACAAGCAGUGGGAGCACCCUUUAGGGUGUGACUGCGUACCUUUUGUAUAAUGGGUCAGCGACUUAUAUUCUGUAGCAAGGUUAACCGAAUAGGGGAGCCGCAGGGAAACCGAGUCUUAACUGGGCGUUAAGUUGCAGGGUAUAGACCCGAAACCCGGUGAUCUAGCCAUGGGCAGGUUGAAGGUUGGGUAACACUAACUGGAGGACCGAACCGACUAAUGUUGAAAAAUUAGCGGAUGACUUGUGGCUGGGGGUGAAAGGCCAAUCAAACCGGGAGAUAGCUGGUUCUCCCCGAAAGCUAUUUAGGUAGCGCCUCGUGAAUUCAUCUUCGGGGGUAGAGCACUGUUUCGGCUAGGGGGUCAUCCCGACUUACCAACCCGAUGCAAACUACGAAUACCGAAGAAUGUUAUCACGGGAGACACACGGCGGGUGCUAACGUCCGUCGUGAAGAGGGAAACAACCCAGACCGCCAGCUAAGGUCCCAAAGUCACAGUUAAGUGGGAAACGAUGUGGGAAGGCACAGACAGCCAGGAUGUUGGCUUAGAAGCAGCCAUCAUUUAAAGAAAGCGUAAUAGCUCACUGGUCGAGUCGGCCUGCGCGGAAGAUGUAACGGGGCUAAACUGUGCACCGAAGCUGCGGCAGCGACACUAUGUGUUGUUGGGUAGGGGAGCGUUCUGUAAGCCUGCGAAGGUGGCCUGUGAGGGUUGCUGGAGGUAUCAGAAGUGCGAAUGCUGACAUAAGUAACGAUAAUGCGGGUGAAAAGCCCGCACGCCGGAAGACCAAGGGUUCCUGUCCAACGUUAAUCGGGGCAGGGUGAGUCGACCCCUAAGGCGAGGCCGAAAGGCGUAGUCGAUGGGAAACAGGUUAAUAUUCCUGUACUUGGUGUUACUGCGAAGGGGGGACGGAGAAGGCUAUGUUAGCCGGGCGACGGUUGUCCCGGUUUAAGCAUGUAGGCGGAGGUUCCAGGUAAAUCCGGUACCUUUUAACGCUGAGGUGUGAUGACGAGGCACUACGGUGCUGAAGUAACAAAUGCCCUGCUUCCAGGAAAAGCCUCUAAGCAUCAGGUAACAUUAAAUCGUACCCCAAACCGACACAGGUGGUCAGGUAGAGAAUACCAAGGCGCUUGAGAGAACUCGGGUGAAGGAACUAGGCAAAAUGGUGCCGUAACUUCGGGAGAAGGCACGCUGAUAUGUAGGUGAAGCCCCUGCGGGUGGAGCUGAAAUCAGUCGAAGAUACCAGCUGGCUGCAACUGUUUAUUAAAAACACAGCACUGUGCAAACACGAAAGUGGACGUAUACGGUGUGACGCCUGCCCGGUGCCGGAAGGUUAAUUGAUGGGGUUAUCCGUAAGGAGAAGCUCUUGAUCGAAGCCCCGGUAAACGGCGGCCGUAACUAUAACGGUCCUAAGGUAGCGAAAUUCCUUGUCGGGUAAGUUCCGACCUGCACGAAUGGCGUAAUGAUGGCCAGGCUGUCUCCACCCGAGACUCAGUGAAAUUGAACUCGCUGUGAAGAUGCAGUGUACCCGCGGCAAGACGGAAAGACCCCGUGAACCUUUACUAUAGCUUGACACUGAACAUUGAGCCUUGAUGUGUAGGAUAGGUGGGAGGCUUUGAAGCGUGGACGCCAGUCUGCGUGGAGCCAACCUUGAAAUACCACCCUUUAAUGUUUGAUGUUCUAACGUUGGCCCCUAAUCGGGGUUGCGGACAGUGUCUGGUGGGUAGUUUGACUGGGGCGGUCUCCUCCCAAAGAGUAACGGAGGAGCACGAAGGUUAGCUAAUCCUGGUCGGACAUCAGGAGGUUAGUGCAAUGGCAUAAGCUAGCUUGACUGCGAGCGUGACGGCGCGAGCAGGUGCGAAAGCAGGUCAUAGUGAUCCGGUGGUUCUGAAUGGAAGGGCCAUCGCUCAACGGAUAAAAGGUACUCCGGGGAUAACAGGCUGAUACCGCCCAAGAGUUCAUAUCGACGGCGGUGUUUGGCACCUCGAUGUCGGCUCAUCACAUCCUGGGGCUGAAGUAGGUCCCAAGGGUAUGGCUGUUCGCCAUUUAAAGUGGUACGCGAGCUGGGUUUAGAACGUCGUGAGACAGUUCGGUCCCUAUCUGCCGUGGGCGCUGGAGAAUUGAGGGGGGCUGCUCCUAGUACGAGAGGACCGGAGUGGACGCAUCACUGGUGUUCGGGUUGUCAUGCCAAUGGCAUUGCCCGGUAGCUAAAUGCGGAAGAGAUAAGUGCUGAAAGCAUCUAAGCACGAAACUUGCCCCGAGAUGAGUUCUCCCUGAGACUUUAAGUCUCCUGAAGGAACGUUAAAGACGAUGACGUUGAUAGGUCGGGUGUGUAAGCGUAGCGAUACGUUGAGCUAACCGAUACUAAUGAACCGUGAGGCUUAACCUUACAACGCCGAAGGUGUUU
rnacentral:rRNA from 1 species